rnacentral:ncRNA from 1 species
CACAAUUCUUCUCCCUAUCGUCCAAAAAUGAAUGGGGCAGUGGAAGCUGCCAAUAAGAAUAUUAAGAAAAUAGUGGGGAAAAUGACUGAGACCUAUAGAGAUUGGCAUGAGAAGUUGCCAUUUGCACUCCUAGCCUAUCGAACAUCUGUCAAAACCUCUACUGGGGCAACUCCAUUCUCGCUAGUUUAUGGGAUGGAAGCAGUGAUAACUGCUGAAAGCAUCUAAGUAGUAAGCCCACCCCAAGAUGAGUGCUCUCCUAUUCCGACUUCCCCAGAGCCUCCGGUAGCACAGCCGAGACGGCAAGGGGUUCUCUGUCCCUGCGGGGAUCGAGUGACAGAAGUUUUGAGAAUUCAAGAGAAGGUCACGGCGAGACGAGCCGUUUAUCAUUACGAUAGGUGUCAAGUGGAAGUGCAGUGAUGUAUGCAGCUGAGGCAUCCUAACAGACCGGUAGACUUGAACCU